GAUGAACGCUGGCGGCGUGCCUAAUACAUGCAAGUCGGACGGAUGUAGCAAUACAUUAGUGGCGAACGGGUGAGUAACACGUAGGUGACCUGCCCUAAAGAGGGGAAUACCACUUCGAAAGGAGUGACAAAACCGCAUAAACUUAUAGAGAUUAGAAGGCUAUAAGGAAAGAGCGAUCUACUUUAGGAGGGGCCUGCGGCCCAUCAGCUAGUUGGUAGAGGUAACGGCCUACCAAGGCGAAGACGGGUAGGGGACCUGAGAGGGUGAUCCCCACAAUGGAACUGAAACACGGUCCAUACACCUGCGGGAGGCAGCAGUGGGGAAUAGUUGCGCAAUGGGGGGAACCCUGACGCAGCAACGCCGCGUGGAGGAAGAAGGUCUUCGGAUUGUAAACUCCUGUCUUCUGGGACGAAUAAUGACGGUACCAGAGGAGGAAGCCACGGCUAACUACGUG
rnacentral:rRNA from 1 species